UUCUACUUUCCAUUGAGGUUCUCGUAACCUGUUCCAUCAUUGUUUACUAUUCAAAAGUGGUUAUAAAAGGUUACCGGCUAAGCAAAUAUAAGCUAGCUCAUUCUGAACUAUUUCCUGUUCAUUUCCAUGGUUAUACUUAGCCAUAGUGAAAUUGACCAGACAUUAAUUCGUGUACUUUUCCUUUUACGAUGAUAUAUUGAUCACAAAUAGAAAUUAUAAAUCCUUUUAAGUCAGAUUACGAUUGCGUUGCUAAGACCUGAAAUUGAUAUAUUA